rnacentral:rRNA from 1 species
GGACUACCAGGGUAUCUAAUCCCGUUUGCUCCCCUGGCUUUCGCGCCUCAGCGUCAGUUGAGGGCCAGCCGCGCGCUUUCGCCACCGGCGUUCCUUCCGAUAUCAACGCAUUUCACCGCUCCACCGGAAGUUCCCGCGGCCCCUACCUCACUCCAGACGAGCAGUAUCCAAGGCACUUUUCCGGUUGAGCCGAAAGAUUUCACCCCGGACUUGCUCGCCCGCCUACGCGCCCUUUAAGCCCAGUGAUUCCGAACAACGUUCGCACGGUUCGUCUUACCGCGGCUGCUGGCAC